UCUCUUUGCUUUGCUUCAAUCGCCCUCUGCUGACUCUGGAACAAUGUCUGAUAAAAACACAGCCGAGAAACUUCUUAACAGCCUUGUGGACACAUUUGUUGAGAAGCAAAAUUCUGUACCAUUCAUUGAGGAAGAGAGGUCAGACUCAGUGAGUUCCCAGAUCAAUAGACUGUUUGGACGCCAGAAACCUGUGCACCAUAUUCUAGGGGGUGGAAAAUCUGCGGAUGUCUUGUUAUGGAGGAACAAGAAGAUUUCUGCUAGUGUUUUAACUGGUGCAACAGUUGCAUGGGUGCUUUUUGAAUGGCUGAAUUAUCAUUUUCUUACCCUUUUUUGCUUCAUUUUGGUUCUUGGCUUGCUUGCACAGUUUCUAUGGUCAAAUGCUUCUGGUUUCUUUAACAGUUCACCAUCUAAAGUACCUCGUGUUGUUCUACCAGAAGAACUCUUUGUGAAUAUUGCAACUGUGAUUGGUGAUAAGGUUAACAUGGGUUUGAGGUUUCUUCAAGAUGUUGCUUGUGGAGGAAACUUGAAGCGGUUUCUUAUUGUUGUAGUAGGUUUGUGGGCUGGUGCUGUGAUUGGGAGCUGGUGCAAUUUUUUGACUGUCAUCUAUAUUGGUGAGACCUGCUUUCUUUGCAUCUUUGGAUAGAUCUACUUUUCUUUUAAUUCAUAUGCUGACCCAAAUACUUGCUUAUAUUAAUAAGAUUACUGCCUUGUGACCUAGCCAUCAUGUGUUGUAGUUACAGAAAUGCUUUCCUCACAGGGUUAAGGUUGUAUCAUUUUAGCCUCCCUAGACACCACAAUAGGGGAGCCCAGUGCAGUGGUCUAUCAGUUUGAAAAAUAUAUUUUCAUAUUUCAAUGAACCCAUUGAAAUAUUUUCUUCUGAAAACAUGAACAGUUUAAAUUUGGGAAAUUUGUAACAUUAAAAGUCAUCCUUAACUUCCAUGAUGAUUAAAACCUCAAUUUUUAUGACAUCUUGUAGAGAUGAUUAAAAUUUAAAACAGCCAAGCAUAUACAGUAAAAAGAAUCUGCACCAUUACUAUGUAUUAACGUAUUGAGAUAUCUUUUAGGAACUACUACCUCUAGUCCUAAAUAUAAGACCUUUUGGAGAGUUUGUCAUGGUCCUUUUUUCAAGACCUCUAGCAAGUUGUUUCUUGUAUUAAUUAUUCUUACAAAAAUACUCUUAGUGGAAACGAAGUAAUUAACUAGGUAAAAAGUGAGUAAGACAAUGGAUUCUAAUAAUUUUGAGGGUAAUUUUAGAAAAUUUAUUCAAAUUGUUGAAAAAUUUAAAGCCAUUACUGAAAUUAACUAUCUUAAUUCUAGUUUAGUAGUUAAAAGGGUCUUAUAUUUAGGACAAGAGGUAGUAAGAUGCAGGGGUGAGAGUUUUGAUGAUGACAUGGGAUGCGUACACAAGUCACACAUAGUUUUGUUGCUGCACAUACACUCCCAGUUCUCUAUGAAAAGUAUGAGGAUGAGGUUGACAACUUUGUCUACAAGUUCUUUGGUCAGUUACAAAAUCAGUAUCGAAAUCUUGAUGCUAGUGUGCUCAGCAGAAUUCCCAAGGGUAACUUCAAAGGAAAGAAGCAUGACUAGGUUUAUCCUUAUGAUAUUAGUUUGUCAUUCAAUGCCCAUCUCUCACACAUGGUGGCAGCUUGGAAUGGUCCAAGGAAGUAAAUUGGGUGAACAAAACAUUUGUGCCAUAUGAAUGAUAAUGAGUGUAGUAAAUAAAAUAGCAUUUAUAGUUACUGUUUCUGCUGUUCCUAAAUUUGUGAUCUUGAAAUCUCUUGUAAUUGAUUGGUCAGGGAGAGAACAUUGAUGACUGUUGCAAACUUCUGAAGACACUUCAAAGUCAGAGUUGUUAAAUGUGUAUUUGGACUAGCAGAAACUCAUUACAUUUCAUAAAAACUAGAUUAAUUUGUUAAAAUUGAUUAAGUCUUAAUGUUAAUUUUGUCAGGGUCAAAUGUAACAACCAAUAUUGUUGGCUAUAUUGUUAUUAAGCACUACUCAUAA